rnacentral:rRNA from 1 species
UACGUAGGAGGCAAGCGUUAUCCGGAAUGACUGGGCGUAAAGGGUGCGUAGGUGGUUUAACAAGUUAGUAGCGUAACCCCGGGGCUCAACCUCGGAACUACUACUAAAACUGUCGGACUUGAGUGCAGGAGGGGCAAUUGGAAUUCCGAGUGUAGAGGUGAAAUUCGUAGAUAUUCGGAGGAACACCAGUGGCGAAGGCGGCUCACUGGCCAGAUACUGACGCUGAGGUGCGAAAGUGUGGGGAGCAAACAGG